CAGUCGCCACGGUAAUACAGAGGGUGCGAGCGUUAAUCGGAUUUACUGGGUUUAAAGGGUCCGUAGGCGGAUCUGUAAGUCAGUGGUGAAAUCUCACAGCUUAACUGUGAAACUGCCAUUGAUACUGCAGGUCUUGAGUAAAUUUGAAGUGGCUGGAAUAAGUAGUGUAGCGGUGAAAUGCAUAGAUAUUACUUAGAACACCAAUUGCGAAGGCAGGUCACUAAGAUUUAACUGACGCUGAUGGACGAAAGCGUGGGGAGCGAACAGGAUUAGAUACCCCUGUAGUCCCUGUCUCUUAUAC
rnacentral:rRNA from 1 species